rnacentral:piRNA from 1 species
UGAGCAAAAGUCUAUAGUUUCCCGUA